rnacentral:rRNA from 1 species
CUACGUUGGGGGCGAGCGUUGUCCGGAAUGAUUGGGCGUAAAGGGCGCGUAGGCGGCCCGGGAAGUCUGGAGUGAAAGUCCUGCUCUUAAGGCGGGAAUUGCUUUGGAUACUGUCGUGCUUGAGUGCAGGAGAGGUAAGUGGAAUUCCCCGUGUAGCGGGGUAAUGCGUAUAUAUUUGGAGGAAUACCAGUGGCGUAGGCGCCUUUCUGGGCUGCUAGUGACGCUGAGGCACGAAAGCGUGGGGUGAAAACAGGAAUUGAUACCCGGGUAGGCCCCGCUGUAAACGAUGAAUGCUAGGUGUAGGGGGUAUACGCCCCGUGUGUGCCGCAGUUAACACAAUAAGGCUUCCGCCUUGGGAAUUAGGCCGCAAGGUUGAAACUCAAAUGAAUUGGCGGGG